GACGAACGCUGGCGGCGUGCUUAACACAUGCCAGUCGAACGGUGAAGCGCCUUCCUUUUUGGUGGGUGUGGAUGAGUGGCGAACGGGUGAGUAACACGUGAGUAACCUGCCCCCUUCUUCUGGAUAACCGCAGGAAAGUGUGGCUAAUACGGGAUAUUCUGGGUCUGUCGCAUGAUGGGUCUGGGAAAGAUAUUGUUUCGGUGGGGGAUGGGCUCGCGGCCUAUCAGCUUGUUGGUGGGGUGAUGGCCUACCAAGGCGGUGACGGGUAGCCGGCCUGAGAGGGUGGACGGUCACACUGGGACUGAGACACGGCCCAGCCUCCGACGGGAGGCAGCAGGGGGGAUUAUUGCACGAUGGGAGGAAGCCUGAUGCAGCGACGCUGCGCGAGGGAUGGAGGCCGUCGGGUUGUGAACCUCUUUCGGGAGUGAAGCGGGCCUGCCUCGUUUGUGGGUGGGUUGACGGUAGCUGGAUAAGAAGCGCCGGCUAACUACGUG
rnacentral:rRNA from 1 species